GGCCUUAUCGUCUAACGGUUAGGACGGAGCCUUCUCAAGGCUCAAAUCGGGGUUCGAUUCCCCGUAAGGUCACAA
rnacentral:tRNA from 3 species